rnacentral:rRNA from 1 species
AGAGUUUGAUCCUGGCUCAGGACGAACGCUGGCGGCGCGCCUAACACAUGCAAGUCGAACGAGCGAGAGAGAGCUUGCUUUCUCGAGCGAGUGGCGAACGGGUGAGUAACGCGUGAGGAACCUGCCUCAAAGAGGGGGACAACAGUUGGAAACGACUGCUAAUACCGCAUAAGCCCACGGGUCGGCAUCGACCAGAGGGAAAAGGAGCAAUCCGCUUUGAGAUGGCCUCGCGUCCGAUUAGCUAGUUGGUGAGGUAACGGCCCACCAAGGCGACGAUCGGUAGCCGGACUGAGAGGUUGAACGGCCACAUUGGGACUGAGACACGGCCCAGACUCCUACGGGAGGCAGCAGUGGGGAAUAUUGCACAAUGGGGGAAACCCUGAUGCAGCGACGCCGCGUGGAGGAAGAAGGUCUUCGGAUUGUAAACUCCUGUUGUUGAGGAAGAUAAUGACGGUACUCAACAAGGAAGUGACGGCUAACUACGUGCCAGCAGCCGCGGUAAAACGUAGGUCACAAGCGUUGUCCGGAAUUACUGGGUGUAAAGGGAGCGCAGGCGGGAAGACAAGUUGGAAGUGAAAUCUAUGGGCUCAACCCAUAAACUGCUUUCAAAACUGUUUUUCUUGAGUAGUGCAGAGGUAGGCGGAAUUCCCGGUGUAGCGGUGGAAUGCGUAGAUAUCGGGAGGAACACCAGUGGCGAAGGCGGCCUACUGGGCACCAACUGACGCUGAGGCUCGAAAGUGUGGGUAGCAAACAGGAUUAGAUACCCUGGUAGUCCACACCGUAAACGAUGAUUACUAGGUGUUGGAGGAUUGACCCCUUCAGUGCCGCAGUUAACACAAUAAGUAAUCCACCUGGGGAGUACGACCGCAAGGUUGAAACUCAAAGGAAUUGACGGGGGCCCGCACAAGCAGUGGAGUAUGUGGUUUAAUUCGACGCAACGCGAAGAACCUUACCAAGUCUUGACAUCCUGCGACGAUGCUGGAAACAGUAUUUUCCUUCGGGACGCAGAGACAGGUGGUGCAUGGUUGUCGUCAGCUCGUGUCGUGAGAUGUUGGGUUAAGU